GGACAAUCUGAUAACGGUCUGAAUUUACAAACGCCCAGAGCUCACCCUGAGCACUCUCUAACACUCCAGAGUGAAUUUACGAACAAAAAUGCUUAAUGACUGGGUUGCGUCUCUGGCAACCGAACCGAUAGAACGAACGAACGGCCAGCCGGCUUGGGUAGCAACCCUAGAUUUGUGUCGGGAAGAUAUCUCUCUACUUCUCUAUGGGGCGAUCAAUGGGAAUUGUUUUAAACGGCCGAAAUUCAGUUAAACUGCAGUACCGAAGCAAUACUGUAUGUGCAGUCAAAAGCGCGCUUCCAGGCGGGAACCCUGGCCCCUUGGCAGCAAUAGAUCGACCGGAGGGAGACACCGGUUUACGACGUGAAAGGCAACGAAGUAGACAGACAGAGAGCAAGCCAACGCGGGAGCGAGCGGCAGGAAUAGCCUACCAUUUCCUGUGUUGGAUCAUAGGGAGCCUGUCUUUAUAACCACCAACCGCUUGAAUAAUCCCAGAGAGGUUGUCAUUUUUAUAUAAAAUCCUAAUUUGUGUGUAUUUAAAGUGGGAAACAGGGUUUGUACACAAAUAAAUAAAAAUUACUAGGUAAAGCAUCACACGCUCAUGUUUAUGGAUAAAGAAGGACGUCGCUCGGAUUUGUUACGUGCGCUCUUUUGGUGGUAAUAUGUCAAGGCACGGAUUCAGAAGGGUCCUACAUUAGACAAAUGAAUUGAACUGGAGAAUAGACACAAACCGAAAAGAAACCCGAUUUGAUAGGGGACAGAGGAGAAAGGGGGAUUCAGCUAGCAACGAACCAUAAGACGAAGGAGCAUCAUAGAGAAAUAGACUGAGUUGUAACGUUUACCCGUCAUCUCCAACUCGUUCAAAGAUCUAUAGGUUCUUCCUGCUCCCUCUCACCACCUUUCCAGUGUCCAUCCUCGGUGCGCAGCGGGUUGCUCCCAUCCCACACCGUCUCAAUGAAGGAGGCCGAUGCAAUCAAGCUCUUCAUCGGGCAGAUACCCCGAAAUCUUGAGGAGAAGGACUUGAAACCCAUCUUCGAACAGUUCGGGAAGAUCUAUGAGUUGACGGUGAUAAAGGACAAAUACACGGGGAUGCACAAAGGCUGUGCCUUCCUGACAUACUGCGAACGAGAGUCUGCCCUCAAGGCCCAGAAUGCACUGCACGAGCAGAAGACGCUACCAGGGAUGAACCGGCCCAUUCAAGUGAAGCCAGCAGACAGCGAGGGCAGAGGGGAAGACAGGAAGCUGUUUGUGGGCAUGCUGGGGAAGCAGCAGUCUGAUGCCGACGUGAGGAAGAUGUUUGAGGCGUUUGGGAGCAUUGAAGAGUGCACAGUGCUCCGUGGGCCUGACGGCACUAGCAAAGGCUGUGCCUUCGUGAAGUACCAGAACAACACAGAGGCUGCGGCAGCCAUCAGCACUCUGCAUGGGAGCCGUACUCUACCGGGUGCCUCCUCCAGCCUGGUGGUGAAGUUCGCCGACUCUGAGAAAGAACGAGGGAUAAGGCGCAUGCAGCAGGUGGCAUCCCAGCUGGGGGUCAUCAGUCCCAUGACAUUACACCUCGGGGCUUACAAUGCCUACACACAGGUACUGGUGCAACAGCAGGCUCUGGUGGCCCAGUCGGCGUACUUGUCUCCUGUAUCCACUAUCACCAUGCAGCAGUUGGCUGCCCUCAACCCCAGCAGCCUUAUUGCCACGCCCAUCGCAUCACUCACUACCUCAGGUACCAGCACUCCGCCCACCAUGGCAGCCACAACAGUGCCUGCUCUGCCUCCACCACUCAGCUACCCUCCAGUGCCAGCUCCACUCAAUGGACAGUCAGCAUCUGAAACCCUGUACACCAAUGGAAUCCAUUCUUACCAAGCUCAGAGUCCAGUUUUAGAUCCUCUUCAGCAAGCAUACGCAGGGAUGCAGCACUACACAGGUGGGGCAGUAGUGAGUCCGUUUGAGUCCUUAAAAUUUCCCGGAGGGAAUUUUAGGUUUGAAAUGCCCUCUCAACAGUCCUUAAUGUUUACUUAUGCAAACACACCCACAGCAACCUACCCUGCUGCCUAUGGAAUGGUGGGGCAGCCAUUCCCACACCAACACACAAUGCUUGCACAGCAACAUCAGCAGCCUCAGCAACUGCAGCAACGAGAAGGUCCUGAGGGGUGUAACAUCUUCAUUUAUCACCUGCCUCAGGAGUUCACUGACUCAGAGAUGCUGCAAAUGUUCAUCCCCUUCGGCAACGUCAUCUCAGCAAAGGUCUUUGUUGACCGUGCAACCAAUCAGAGCAAGUGCUUUGGUUUUGUGAGUUUUGACAACCCGUCCAGUGCACAGACGGCAAUUCAGGCCAUGAAUGGUUUCCAGAUUGGCAUGAAGAGGCUCAAGGUGCAGCUUAAGAGGCCCAAGGAUGCCAACCGACCCUACUAAAUGAGACUGUCCUGUCCAUACAUAUAUCGUGGAGACUACGUGGCUAUGGUUGCCUAGCAACCGCUAAAAAACCCUUCCUCUCACAGCGUUGGAAGAUAUGAGUUCUAUCAAGAAACUACUUCCAGCAUUUUGGUUUCGCCCAAACCAUAUAGCAAAGGAGCAACAACACUUCUAAAAAAAAUAAGAUAAAAUAUAUGUAUCUUCUAAAAAUCUGCAACAACAGAAUAAAACAAAUGUAGGUGGGUGGUUCGGAGUACACAUACCAUACCAACAGCUGGAUUCAGUCAUUAUGUACAUACUGUACUGUCAGCUACAAGGUCUACAUGAAAAAGCAUAUCACUUAUUCUAAUGAACAGGGUUUUACUGUAUAGUGUGGUUUGUGGUCCAUAACUUAAGAGGGAAGGGCAAUGUAUGGGGAUGGAGAAGUGGGAUGGGAACCUUAUUGGGGAAAAAUUACUAUUCUGUAUGAUUACCAUUGGUCGAAUUGGUAUGUAGAUUUAGUUUAUUAUUUAAAAUUAAAUUAAAGAUGAGGAGUAAUUAAACAGAAAGAACAAUCAACUUCUUCUCACUGUACAUAUCUUUGUUUUAAAUGGAGUCAAAUAAUGAACAAAUGUGUAAGUUAUUACAACCACUACUUCUGGUAUUGGAAUAGGGGUGUGAGGGAUGGGAAUUGGGUGGAAUUUUUGUAUCUUCAUUUUUUUACUUUUAAUGUAUUUGUUAACCAAUUGAAGAGGGAGACAUGGCUAUUUUUUAUUUUAGAAAAUAUAAUAUUCCUGUGGUCUACAGUACAAGACUAUGGAUAAACUUAUUGUAGAAUUUGUAAUUACAUAAAUGUAAUUAUCAAAAAAUCAUAAUUGUUUCAUUAUUUAUUCUCUACAAUUGCUGUUUUUAAAUAUAUGUCUUUAAGAAAAAUAAAG